AGAUUUUGAAUUAGUUAAGAAAACUGUGUUGGACGUUUGGGAGCUAUUACACCAAAACUGAUUCAUGUAUCUUGGAUGGAACAUGUUGCAUUUUGUUACUUAACUUUCAUACCGUAUAUUUGACCUACUCUUGGAUGAAACAUGUUGCAUUUUGUUACUUUACUUUCACAACUUUCAUACAAUAUAUUUGACAUACUACUUUUAUUACAGGUGCACCUAUAGUAGGUAUGCCUUUUGAGAAGAUAGACUCAGAUGCAUAUAUGAUGAGAACCUUGAGGGAUAAGGGGAAGAAAAAGGAAUAGAAUGGUAAAUUUGAUGCAUAGUAUAAGGAGGGUCGUUUAAUGUAUAUAAUGCUAUCAUACAUUUAACAUCACAUAUUAAUUUAAUCUGUCGACUCUAUGUUCGAAGAGAUUGUUAUCCAAUGGCUUUAAUUUUGAAUUUGGAGUUAGACAAAACUUACUUAUUUUAGGG
rnacentral:lncRNA from 1 species